rnacentral:rRNA from 1 species
UACGAAGGGGGCUAGCGUUGUUCGGAAUCACUGGGCGUAAAGCGCGCGUAGGCGGAUUGUUAAGUCAGGGGUGAAUGCCGAGGCUCAACCUCGGAACUGCCUUUGAUACUGGCAAUCUUGGAGUCCGGGAGAGGUGAGUGGAACUCCUAGUGUAGAGGUGAAAUUCGUAGAUAUUAGGAAGAACACCAGUGGCGAAGGCGGCUCACUG